ensembl:miRNA Mir7685 microRNA 7685
ACCUUCCGGUUUCUUCAAGUCUCCUGUCCUGCAAUGCCAGGAGACUUGGCUUCCGGCUGGAG